rnacentral:rRNA from 1 species
GUGAGGAAUAUUGGUCAAUGGGCGCAAGCCUGAACCAGCCAUGCCGCGUGCAGGAAGACGGUCCUAUGGAUUGUAAACUGCUUUUAUUUGGGAAUAAACUCCGGUACGUGUACCGGCCUGAAGGUACCAAAUGAAUAAGCACCGGCUAACUCCGUGCCAGCAGCCGCGGUAAUACGGAGGGUGCAAGCGUUAUCCGGAAUCAUUGGGUUUAAAGGGUCCGCAGGCGGUCUUAUAAGUCAGUGGUGAAAGCCUACAGCUCAACUGUAGAACUGCCAUUGAUACUGUAGGACUUGAAUUCGAUCGAAGUGGGCGGAAUGUGACAUGUAGCGGUGAAAUGCUUAGAUAUGUUACAGAACACCGAUAGCGAAGGCAGCUCACUAGGUCUGGAUUGACGCUCAGGGACGAAAGCGUGGGGAGCAAACAGGAUUAGAUACCCUAGUAGUCC